UUAGCGGCGGACGGGUGAGUAAUGCUUAGGAAUCUGCCUAUUAGUGGGGGGACGAACAUCUCGAAAGGGAUGCUAAUACCGCAUACGUCCUACGGGAGAAGCAGGGGAUCACUUGUGACCUUGCGCUAAUAGAUGAGCCUAAGUCGGAUUAGCUAGUUGGUGGGGUAAAGGCCUACCAAGGCGACGAUCUGUAGCGGGUCUGAGAGGAUGAUCCGCCACACUGGGACUGAGACACGGCCCAG
rnacentral:rRNA from 1 species